CCUCCCCGACUGCCCGCGUCCAGUCCUCCUCCCGCUGGCCUCCAUCCAGAACGGCGUGUGCUGGGGAACAGGCCGUCCUGUGCGCCGUCCGUGCUUCAGUGAAAUUCAGCGCUUCCCAGGCCCCAGUGGAGGCGUCCAUCUCAAGAAAGACUUGGAAAGACGCACGUAUUCAAACCUGUGUGAACCUGGAACCCCAUGAAACAGUCUAAACCCGUUAUCCUUAUGGAUUCUCACAACGCCCCUGGAGGGUGUGUUCUGCAGAAGCCAAAGAGAGGACGGGAAUACAGAAGGUGCGUGGGGCACAGGGCCUGGUCUCUCCUCUACACUCAGAAGAAGGACAAGGCUGGCCCCUGACAGAUGUGGACAAAAGGGGUUCUACCAACAGUAACCUCACAGGGUGGUCUGACCCUAAAUUGCAGGUCCUGACUGCAGCUCCUGGCGAGCAGCCACACCCCCCGAAUGUAACUUUUCAGUGAAAGGUGUUCCUUUCCCUUAAGCAGCCCUGUCCAAUGUUUUCACGGAUCUUGGUAAAUAAACUUAACACAACGUGUUAAUUAUACUGUAAUCCAGCAACUUUCAACCUUUUUCACCACAGGGCACACAUAAACUAAUUACUAAAAUUCUGCGGCACACCCAAAAAUACAUUUUGUCCAGAUCUGACAAAACAGUAGGUAUAAUUUUGAUUCGUUCACACCUGAUGGCUAUUGUCGUGUUGGCUUCUGUCAUUUUUUUUUAAUUUGACAAUCUAAGGGAAAAAGGUCAGUGCCCCUGAUUAAAUAGUCGGGUGUUGCACGUUUUAAAAAUUCUUGCGGUGCACUGGUUGUAAUCCAAUCCCUACCUCGCUUUCUCCCACCUCAUGAAAUCAAUCCUUCUUAUUUCCCUGUUUAAUUUUAAAUGCAUAAAAGAAACUGCUAAAUCGUCAUCAUCUUGAGCUUUUGAGAUCUCGA